rnacentral:rRNA from 1 species
UACGUAGGGGGCAAGCGUUGUCCGGAUUUAUUGGGCGUAAAGAGCGUGUAGGCGGCCAGAUAGGUCCGUUGUGAAAACUGGAGGCUUAACCUCCAGCUGUCGAUGGAAACCAUCUGGCUAGAGUCCGGAAGAGGAGAGUGGAAUUCCUGGUGUAGCGGUGAAAUGCGCAGAUAUCAGGAGGAACACCGGUGGCGAAGGCGGUUCUCUGGGCCUUACCUGACGCUGAGGAGCGAAAGCGUGGGGAGCGAACAGG